UUUUCUCUGCCCACGCCUGCAAGCGUGCAUGUGAAUUUCCAGAUUUCUAAAAUAUAUUUGCUUGUCUGCUUCUAAAAUUUGGAUUCAUUUGUAAAGAUUCUCCAAGUUGACCCCAUAAACCAGCACAUGGUUUCUUUUUUGUAAUAUAGUAGCUUGAAGGAUUUUAAAGUCCUACCAACCCAACAGCCCCUUAAAUAAUAUGUUCUACUCCCAAAAAGAAGAGGAAAAAAGUGAAGUUGCAGCAAGUGAACUAACUGCUAGCCUUGAUUCAAAUUAUAUGAGAUCUUUUAUUUAUUAUUCUUCAGUAGUUGUCAUGUAGACUGAUGACUGUCUCGUUAAACAGUUAAUCCAAUUGUUAAAGUGGCAUUAAGAUCAAGUUGGCAUCUGUGAAAUUAGCAAUGAAGUACAUGAAGAGGGUAUCUGCAGAGCUUGAAACUGGUGGUGGUGGGGGGCCUGAAGAAGAGGAGCUGAUAGUCCAGGGAGUCCGAUAUGCUUUCCGGGUACAUCAGUUUGCUGGAGGUUUCGAUGUGGAAACAAUGAGGGCAUUCCAAGAGUUGAGAGAGAAAGCCGGAUCAUGUCAUGUACAAUGUCAAAACCAGCAGCAACAAAAACUUGAAUGCAGGUCGUCUACACCUUGCUAAUCUGUAGCAAACUCAGCUUCAGAAUUGCUGCCUGCCUUUUGCUGUAAAGAUGUAUAACACCAUGUUUCUCAGUACCAUGACCGUGGCGAUCUUGGAAUCAAAUAUUUUUUAAUGAUUCAUUACUUC